UCCCACCCAUCCCUCUGAACUUCGAUGACAGUGAGACCACAGACGACGAGAAGACCGGUGAAGAACUCGUCGUGACAAAACCAGUUCCGAAGAUAAGGAGAAUUUGUUCAGAGUCUGACAACUCUGAAGGAUCGAGUGCCUCUGAAAAUGUAGACCCAAUAACUUCUCAAUACCUAUCGGUAAUUGAGGACCACAUUUGGGAGCCACCAAGCAUUGAUUUUAAUGCUCAUAGCCCAGAUGUAAGCAGCCCUGAACCUGAAUCACCAGCAAGAUCAGAGUCAAGCAGCCACUCAGCCGCUCAGCACAURAAAAAGGAGGAUCAGUCACGGUCAGGGCUGUCUGCUGGCUCCGGGGCCAACACAGCAGACCUGCUUCAACUGAAGAGAGAAAAAAUACAGCUUGAGCUGAAAGUUUUAAAAAUAAGAGAGGAAUAUUACAGUUUGAAAGUCAAGGAACUUCAGACAAAAUGCGCUCUGAAAUGAUUUUCUUAUUAAAUGUUUAAUGUAGGGCUGAAGCGAACAAUUGUCGCAAAUUAAGUCUGUGGGAAACAAUGAGGGAGGAGCUAAAGAUAACUUWAUUCAAAACCACUUCACAAACAAAGUUUGCAGAAAAUAAAAYGCGGCUUUAGUAAAUUACAGCUGAUAUUAGCAUUUCAAUGACUAUCUCCAUAAUUUAUGGRAAAAAAAAAUAGUGUAGGUAAUGACAKAGRAUUCAAGCUUAAUAGACUUAAAGGAAAMGUUUUUAUUAUCUUGUAAGAGGAAAAAUACAACACAACAUCAUAAUAAACUCAUUUAAAACACAAAGACAGCAACUUUUGGUGUAAACAUUCGAAGAUGAAGCUUAUUUUUGUUAUGGCUCUGCAAGAUCAGGGGUAGCUGAUGUGUUAAAAAAAAGAACUUUGAGAGUCAGACGGACAUUGUCACUGGUUAUUCCUCUCUAUCGGUUUGGAUGAWGUAAUUAUGAUUUUCUCAAAUUUAUGGUUACAAUAGCCUAAAUCUGAAGAAAUUACUGCAAGAAGAAAUACCCCUAAAAUUAGAUKACCUAAAUUUAACACUCAGUCCACGUUAUAAUUGGAGCAAAUGAUUUAAUUUCCCCUUGGGAUUAAUAAAGUACUUUUGAAAUUGAAUUUGAAAUCUCAGCCUCGUUCAAGAUUAAUUUUGUGACAAAUGGCAUUAAACAUGAUUCAAGUCACCCAAACAGUUUUCAGCAACUUUGGCGGUGAACAAAAUGUAGUUGAUGUGUCGUCUUCAUUCCAAAUUAAUCAGAUUUUUCUGGUUCAGCCCAAAUAGAAAGUCAAAAAUGGAUAAUUGGCUUGUAGCAAAUGAAUUAUUGACCAAUCAAAUCAACCGGCUGAAAUUAAUAUCUGUAUAUUGAAAACAAAUUCUAGAUCGGGUGUCGGUGACAGUGAGCCCGAUCCACCGGGGCAGAUCUAGUCAGUCUAAUUCUAUUCAUCAUGUUUUAUUUAUUUUACGUUGUGUUUAGAGUUCCUAAUUGCACUUUCUGAACUAUUUGAAAAAAGSUUUGUUGCGGUUUAUUUUUACAUGUUUUACUCAGGUGGUCAACCUGUUGUUUUUGUUCAUUUCAGUUAUURUUUAUGUUCUACUCCUAACUGCACUGACUCAACAAAUUAAAGUUGUUGUUUUUACAUGUUUGACCAAGCUUGUGAAGUUAUUGGUGCAUUUAAGUGUGCUGUACCAGAGCAGAGUUGUCAAGUUAAUACCAUUAUGUCUGUGACAGUUUAAAUUAAUGCAGCAUUUUCUUUCUGUAUCAAAUUAUCGACCAAUACUAAACAUUCGAUAUCUGUAUCGGUGUCUCAAGUGAAAAAAGUGGAUCGGUGCGUCCCCAGAAUCAACUGAUGUUUCUGUUGCACCUUUGAUUGAUGAUAGUCUUAUUUCCUUACAAAUGAAAUCCAAAAAUUGGAAACCAGACUCAGGUAAGUAUUGGAAAUKUAACUCCAGUAUUCUGAAGCACCUGUUGCCAAAGAGAGAGAGAAUGAAAUAAAUAAAAAUGAAACAUAGAGGACUCUGAAGAAUUAAAUAGCCCAAUUUUUAGGGAAUUUCUCAAAUAAUUCAGAAAAUCAAUUUUCUGUUUCAUUCAGUAGACAAAAAARAAUUUCAGGAAAAACUAGAUAUUUUUAUUGUAUUUGUUACAUAUAAUGUAACAAAUCUAAACUUUCUGUAAGAGACAAACAAUGUAU